GGGGAAGUGGCUCAGUGGUAGAGUGCUUGCCUCGCAUGCAUGAGGCCUUGGGUUUGAUUCCUCAGCACCA
rnacentral:tRNA from 1 species